rnacentral:rRNA from 1 species
AUUUUGGACAAUGGGGGAAACCCUGAUCCAGCCAUCCCGCGUGUAUGAUGAAGGCCUUCGGGUUGUAAAGUACUGUGGGCAGAGAAGACACGGCAUCUCCUAAUACGAGAUACUGCUGACGGUAUCUGCAGACUAAGCACCGGCUAACUACGUGCCAGCAGCCGCGGUAAUACGUAGGGUGCAAGCGUUAAUCGGAAUUACUGGGCGUAAAGCGGAUGUAGGCAGUUCGGAUAGAAAGAUGUGAAAUCCCAGGGCUCAACCUUGGAACUGCAUUUUUAACUGCCGACCUAGAGUAUGUCAGAUGAGAGAAGAAUUCAACGCGUAGCAGAGAAAUGAGUAGAUAUGUGGAGGAAGACCGAUGGCGAAGGCAACCCCCUGGGAUAAUACUGACGCUCAGAAACGAAAGCGUGGGGAGCAAACAG